UGCACGCAUGACUGUAAGUCUCUUUGGUUAAAAGUAUCUGCUAAAUGGCAUAUA
rfam:Salmo salar isolate Sally breed double haploid chromosome ssa24, whole genome shotgun sequence.